UGUGCUAAUCUUCUCAGAAUGCUGCAUUUAUCACCUACCAGACAAAUGCUAAAUGCUGCAUUACAAGGCAAUUAUCACC